AGCGAACGCUGGCGGCAGGCUUAACACAUGCAAGUCGAGCGGGCCCUUCGGGGUCAGCGGCGGACGGGUGAGUAACGCGUGGGAACGUGCCUUCUGGUUCGGAAUAACUCAGGGAAACUUGAGCUAAUACCGGAUACGCCCUUUUGGGGAAAGGUUUACUGCCGGAAGAUCGGCCCGCGUCUGAUUAGCUAGCUGGUGGGGUAACGGCCUACCAAGGCGACGAUCAGUAGCUGGUCUGAGAGGAUGAUCAGCCACACUGGGACUGAGGCACGGCCCAGACUCCUACGGGAGGCAGCAGUGGGGAAUAUUGGACAAUGGGCGCAAGCCUGAUCCAGCCAUGCCGCGUGAGUGAUGAAGGCCUUAGGGUUGUAAAGCUCUUUUAUCCGGGACGAUAAUGACGGUACCGGAGGAAUAAGCCCCGGCUAACUUCGUGCCAGCCGCCGCAGUAAUAC
rnacentral:rRNA from 1 species